UCCUGCGCGCCGCGCGCUGCCCGAGCCUCGCGCGCUGCUCCUGGCGUCUCCUCAGGCCCGGCGCGAUGGGCAGGAAGGGCAGGAAGGAGAAGAAGGGCCGCGGGGCGGAGAAGACGGCCGCCAAGAUGGAGAAGAAGGUGUCCAGGCGCUCGCGGAAGGAGGAGGAGGACCUUGAAGCCCUCAUAGCCCAAUUCCAGACUCUGGAUGCCAGAAAGACUCAGAUCGUAGAGACACCCUGCUCCCCGCCUUCUCCAAGGUUAAAUGCCUCACUCUCCGCUCAUCCUGAGAAAGAGGAGUUAAUCCUUUUCGGAGGUGAAUAUUUCAAUGGCCAAAAAACUUUUUUAUAUAACGAACUCUAUAUCUACAACAUCAGGAAGGAUGCCUGGACCAAAGUCGAAAUCCCUAACCCACCUCCGAGGCGCUGUGCACACCAGGCUGUGGUGGUGCCCCAGGGCGGCGGACAGCUGUGGAUCUUUGGCGGGGAGUUUGCUUCUCCUGACGGAGAGCAGUUCUACCACUACAAGGACCUCUGGGUCCUGCAUUUGGCCACCAAGACCUGGGAGCAAGUCAGAUCACCAGGCGGUCCUUCAGGCAGGAGUGGACAUCGGAUGGUGGCCUGGAAGAGACAGUUAAUCCUUUUUGGUGGCUUCCAUGAGAGCACGAGGGAUUACAUCUAUUAUAAUGACGUGUAUGCCUUCAACCUGGACACUUUCACGUGGAGCAGGCUGUCCCCGUCCGGGACGGGGCCCACACCCAGGUCGGGCUGCCAGAUGACCGUCACCCCCCAGGGCGGUGUCGUCAUCUAUGGAGGCUACUCAAAACAGAGAGUCAGGAAAGAUGUGGACAGAGGCACCCAGCACUCCGACAUGUUCCUGCUGAGGGACGAGGAGGGAAGAGAAGGCAGGUGGGCGUGGACUCGGGUUAACCCUUCCGGAGCCAAGCCCACCCCCAGGUCCGGCUUCUCGGUGGCUGUGGCCCCGAACCAUCAGACGCUGCUGUUCGGGGGGGUGUGUGACGAGGAGGAGGAGGAGAGCCUGGAGGGCCACUUCCUCAAUGACCUGCACGUCUACGACCCCGGCAGGAACCGCUGGUUCGCGGGGCAGCUGAAGGGUCCCAAGGCGGAGCAGAGGCGCGGGCGGGGCAGGAAAGCCGAGCCCAGGGCUGGCGACAGGCAGGAAGCGAAGGGGGCCGGCGCCCAGGAGCCCCCGGAGGUGGUCAGGGAGGUCCUGGCAGAGGAUGGGACCGUGGUCACCAUCAAACAGGUGCUCGCGGCCCCGGGCCCAGCAGGACAGCCGGAGUCCCGUGGCCACGACGACGGCGCCGAGGACGCGGGUGUGCCUGCGGCGGAGCCCAGCCCCCGCUCCAACGCCAUGCUGGCCGUGAAGCACGGGCGCCUCUACCUCUACGGGGGCAUGUUUGAGGCUGGCAACCGCCAGGUCACCCUCAGUGACUUGUACUGCCUGGACCUGCACAAGAUGGACGCGUGGGCGGUCUUGGUAGAGAUGGAUCCAGAAUCUCAGGAGUGGCUGGAGGAGACAGACUCCGAAGAGGACAGCGAUGAGGUCGAGGGCGCUGAGGGCGGCGGGGAGGACGAGGACGAGGACAGCAGCGAGGGGGGCAGGGAGCAACCUCCCUCGGUGGCACCUGGUGAGCUGUUCGCGGACUACCUGCCCAGGACCGAGCAGUACUGGGUGAAGCUCGCGCGGGACGACGCGGGGCCCGGCGCCCAGGAGAGGAGAGUGCUGAAAGGCGCUCAGGCCAUGGCCAAGGCUUUCUUUGAUGACGUGGCCUGAGCCACACCCAGGCCAGAGGUUAGACUGAGGAGCUGUGGUUCCCUGCCCCCAGCGCGCCGCGUGUGGUUAAAAUAAACUGGACUUGGCGCGAGGCUGCUGCCGCGAAGGUGGUCUUCUGUGCAGCCUCCGGGCACCGACAGUUCUGGCGGGGCCUCUGGCUGGGUCGGGGCCGAGCUAAGCCACCCCCACACCAGGCGGCACCUUGACCAUGAAGUGGAACACUGGGUUUGGUGGGGGGUUCCCGUCUGCAAAGCUGGGAGAUGCGUGUCAUGCCUGAGCGCACGUUCCGUCGUCUCGCUGAUGUGUAAGAACUGUCCGUAGCCGCCCGCCGCCUCCUGUACGCAUCUUCUUGGUUCGCUGGAAGAUAAAGCGCCUGUCGGCGGGCUGGUCUGCUCGUUGUGCGCAUGGCUUUGCCCGGGCUCUCUUGGGGUGUCGUGCGCCAGCUCCUCGGGCCACUCCUCACCUUUGGGGAGGAGGCGGUGGAGCCGUGCUCUGCCCCUCUCCCCCUCGGGCUCAGGGUUGUCAUCUGCGUGGUGACAGAAGAGGACGAGAAGCCGGCGGGCGGCCCCCCGUCCCCGCGUGGCCUCGCCGUCCAUUGCCGGGCACCUCUGGGUCUGUGGUGCGUCAGCGCUGGCUGGUGCCCGCGCCAAGGUUGACGGCAGGAGGCGGGUCUUCAUUUGUGUCACUGGGGCAGAGGCUGGGCUUUGGAUUCAUGGUGGUGCGUGUGUUCAUCUAAAACAGUUUUCAGCAGCAGGCCCGGCAGCCCACCGUUGCCUUGCCUGGGUCAUGCGCGCAUCACGGGCGGUUAGAAACGAGGAGUGGGCUCGUCUGCCCGGCGGAGCGGGCCUGGGCCUCGGGAGGUCGUGGAAGGUCCAGGCCGACUUGCCCCAGGAGCAGCCCACGCCCGACCCGGCGUUCACCUCCAGCCGUGUGACCUCACUCGUUAGACUUCUCCUGCUUCACGCGCACACGGAUCUGCCCGCCGGAGCCUCCCUCUGGUGGGGGGCCUGGCAGAGCCCCCGGGAGUCCCGGUCAUGGGGAAGGGCCGGGCCGGGGUCGGGCAGACACAGGCUGUGUUUGGUGGAAGGGCAGGGCCCUGGCGUCAGCAUCUUCCCUGUGCCUGCGGGGGUGCUGGGGCAGGCGGGCAGGGGCCGCACGGAGGCCCUCCCGGUGCCCACCCUGCUGUCCGGGGGCUCGUGGCCUGGGUGUGGGGCUGCUGCCUUGGGAGGCAGUGUUGGAAGAGCAUCAGCCCCAGUGCAGGUGUCUGUCACCAGAGGCCACUUACAUUACAGAGGAGCCUGUAAGCAGAGGAGACUCCAAGGAAGGUAGUUUUGAAUCAACUCGAGGUAGAGUUGAAAAAGAAAUGACAAGCCCCCGAAGAAACUUCCUUUGUGCUGAGGGUGCCGUCUAAGUGCCAGGGAGGUAAAUGCACCAGCCGCACACGAGGCGCCGCCUCUGCUGUGUCCCCACCGUGCGCGUCCCGACAGCGGACAGCGGCAGGGCCAGGCGGGCAUACGGUGCAGCCCCCCCCCGCGCCAGCGGCUGGUCGCUGAACCGAAUGCUCCGGACGCCCGGCCGGCUGGCACAGAGCCCCAGGCCUCGGUGCCCCGCAGUGCUGGAGCCAGGACGGCCGGUGACGGCUGCGCUCGGGGUCGGCUACAGCCCCGCGGGGACGUCCGCCUCGCCUGCCCCUUGGUUUGCUGACUUGUUGGUGAGCCCCCUCGCCCCCCCAGAUGGGUCCUGCCCCCUCGCCUCUCAGGGGUGCCCCUCAGCUGGCCCCGUGCCCGCUGCAGACCCUGCACCAGAGCUCCUUGGGGGCUUCGUGGGGGUUGUGAGUGUGAACAGUGUGCUUUCUCCUCGUGUCCCAGGAGCAGCUCAGCUGGCUGGCGGGGCCAGGCUUCGCCAGGCAAUGUGAGCGCGUGGAUCUACGGCGGUGGGUUCCUUGGGGUUGGACUGAAUUGAGCAGAGAUAGAGGGGAGUACCCGCUGAGCUCCGAAGCCCUCGUCACCCACAGUCGUCUGUGGCGGGUCAGCGUGUGACGGUGGGGGUUACUGCCGCGUGACACCUGAUUUUGUACCAAGUGUGGGCAGGAAGUCAGUGCUUGGUGACAGUAGAAACGCGUGGGGGGACCCGACGCUGCGUGGGGCUACCAGGGAGACAGCCACUUCCGUGUUGUCCACGCGGGGUGGAGGAGGCCGUCGCGAGGCCUCGCUCAGCCACCCCCGUGUGCCGCGGUGAGAACGUGGCGGGGUGGGUGGAGGCGUGCAUCGGGUGAGUGUGGCCCGGGAGGCCCGUGGCGGCUCUGGCCCGGGCGGGCGUGCUGUGUCUCUCUGCCCGGCUCCGCGCGCUGCUGCCUCCCUGGGCGUCAGGUCAGGAGGCAAAGCUGUGGGGAGGCCCUUGGCCCAGAGUGUAGACCACGGUCGCCUGUUUCUGUGGAGAGUCCCAUCCCAGGCCAGGCCGGGCCUGGUCACCAGGGCCCUGAGCACAGGGUCCGUGGGAAGCUGAGGCACCGACGGGCACGGCCGGUGGCCACGGGGGCUGGGAGCAAGGCGACCUGGGCUCUGGACAGCCCGGCUGUUCACCUCGGGGCCCCCCGGAUGUGAACCACCUGGGAGCUGAGGAGCCGCGGGGACACAGCCAGGGCCAGGCCUGGUCGGCAGGCCGUGUGGGAGCAGGGCUGGGGGCGGUCGCUGCUCUCGGGCCGGGACCGGGGUGGCUCAUGGAGCACAGGGGUCCUGAGCCGGGGACCCUGGGCCUGGAGGGGUGGGCUCCCCCUGGCCUUAGGGCAGGAGGGGGCGCGGGGAGGGGGCUUUUGUCUGCAGAGUGGGGCCCGGAAAGACCACAGGGUGUCAUGAGGGUCCUGAGUUUGGAAAGGAAGAGUCACUGCUCCGUGGGAAACAUGGACGUCGAAGUCUAAGAAAGUCAGGUUUGAAAGGGCUGCUGGGGGCCCCUCUGUGAGGCGCCUUGGUGUCCUCCAUCCGCUGGCAGAGGGGGUGGGCGCCAGGCGGGCUCCCGGCCCAGGUGGAGGCAGUGCUGGCGCGGGAAGGGGGGCGUUUCCGGUUCCUGCUCAGAGUCACAAGAGCCUCCAGACACGGACGGACGCCGCCAGAUAACGUACGCCAGGUUCAUCUUGAAAUCUGGGCAAUGGAAGGAAUUUGCAGUAAAGACACUCGUUUAUAACCAGAUGAUGCACGUGACCAAACUUUCAAAUGGGGACGUUUAUUAUUAGAAAGAGCAAAGUUUUUCUUUGAUCUCGACCGUGUCCCAUGCUUUCAGAUAGUGAGAUAUGUAGUAAUGGUAUGAUUUAAACAGGUUCAUUAAAGAAAAUUAUUUUCAUUUUUUAAGUGACCAAGCCAUUUUUCUAGGUAAAAGAAGAGAAGAAAGGCUGAAGGAACUGCUUCAUCAAUAAAAAAAUCAGAACACAUUGGACGUUGCCUUUUCGUGACUGCCUGUGUCAGCAGACAGUUGACAGGCGUCAGGACAGACGGAGGGAGGAAAGAAAGCGCAGUGCGGCGGCUGUGUGAGGGUGUCUGCGUCAGGGCAGCAGGAGACCCGCGCCCACAUGGGACAGGCAGGACAGCAAGGGUGUGGCACACGGGCUGGCAGGUGUGUGAGCCCAAGAGUACCGUGGGGGGUGUGUGUCGGGGGCAGCGAGGCGGGGGCCAGAGGGGUGCUGCCCCCAGACCCAGGCUCGCCCGGGGCCGGCUGUGUCCACAGGGGUGGGAUCUGCCCCCGGGGUGACUGCGUCCCUGAGGUCAGGGACGAUCUGGAGCCAGACGUGUUGCCCGUUUGUACCCCAGGCUCUUCCACGGUGGGGUCUCACACAGAAGUGGACUCCAGCAGCUGCGUCUCUGCUGACGGGCGCCGGUGCUGGGGAGUGUCUAGCGUGGGUUCCAUCGCCCGCGGGGUGUUCGCCUGCUCCGGGCCCCCCUCUGUGCGGCCAUCUGCCCCUGCUGCUCCCCUGGGUGCCUGCCAGCCCCUGCUUCCCCGGGGAGCACCCGCCCCCAUGUCUGGUGCCCGCAGCCUCGCGCCCCCGCCUGUCACGGGGUCCGUGCCCUCGAGGCUGUGGUCCAGGCUUGUGGACACACGGUGUGAGUGCUGCUUGUGCUCUGGUUGUGCACAGAGGCACCUGCACGUUCUCCUCUUCUGAGGCUGUUAGUGACACGUGUCGGCGCUUGGGGCCGGUGGCUUUUCAGUCUUGGCUUCCUGCCGGUUUCCUGACACGUGGAUGGCCCGAGCCUGGCUCCCCUCACUCCUGCGCCCUCAUUUGGACUCUCGAUCCUCUUACCUAACUGACCAGCCGCGGAUCCCCGUCCCCGGCGAGGUUAACGAUGACGGCCGUGGAGCUCACGCGACGUCACGGCAGGGCACGCUGGCUGUGGCCGUGAGGAGGGAGGCUGUGACGUCACGGCGAGUGUCUGAGCCCAGAGGCGGAGACCGUCGCAGACGAGACCUGUAAGGCUGAGCUGAGCUCGAUCUGGGGGCUGGGCCCCCACCCAGGGUGCCUGGCAGGACCCGGGGGACCGUACGGGUGUCAGUUCAGGAAAACCCAAACUGAAAGGGUGAAAACCAGAAACCGUUUAUUUCACUCCCUCUCCCGACUACUCCUGUGCGUCAGCAUGUGCAGGCCGUCCUGGAUGCGUCACCUGACCUCUCCCCUGGGCUGGCGGGAGCACCCUGUGGUUUUUAAGUGGGGCGGCCGUUUAAUUGUCUGUGGGACUCUUGAGAUGAACGGGUGCACUUUGAUGGCCAGGCUAGGACGUCGGGCAUUCGUGGCCCCGGGAGUCUGUGGCAGCCACACUGCGUUCUCGGUGCUUCCUGGGGGAACCGUGGGCUUCGUGCUUGUAGGGAGGCACCCGUCUCCCUCCCACACCCCCCACGUGGAGCGCGUCUAACAGAGACGUGGGCACGUGGUUGUUAGACGGGGCGUGGAACGUCCUAGCGUUUCGACCCCUCGCCUCCCUCCCCUCGAAUGGCUGCCGCCACGGGCAUUGUGCUUCUGUGGCCACGCGGAGCUCUUCUGUGUGGACGCCACCUUCCUCGUCUGUUGUUUGGGUGCAGGGGUCUCGUCCCUCGUGCUGUCCCGCCCCACUCUCACAGGUGAGGUGUGGGUGCCGCUCCCCAGCCUGGGGGGGGUGGCCUGUCCCCCCUCCCCGCGGGCCCGGCUCAGCAGCUCAGGUCACUCAAUUUCUCUGCCUCUGGUUUUUACAUCUCGAGCUCGGAAGCAGCUGUCGGGGGACAAGAUGACUCUCAUGAGGUUGGUCUGGGAUUAAUGAAAACCUGUCAGCGCUCCGGGCCACUGGGGCCCACGACAGCGUCUGUGCUUCCCCCGUCCCACGUGUCCACCAGGAACGCGCCUGGCAGAAGCGGGUCAGCCAGCCUGGCCCGGAGGGAGCUCGCGGGUGCACCUGUCAGGAAACCCGGGGCUCCGGCAGGUAGGAGAGGCUGGCCAGUCUGAGCGAACCCUUUCGGCCUGCCUGCGGGGCAGCCUCGUCUGGGAACCAGCUCAAAGCUGGCCUUUUAGAGCCUCCCAGGCCCAGGACGUCGUGGUCUCCGUGGAAUCCACGCACAGCUCACCGGGUGCAGGGAGACAGCAGUAGUGCGGGUGUUGCUCUGGUUUUGUGUUACUGGCCGCUGGACGCAUGGCGGGAUGCUAGCCAGGCCCCUGUGAGCCCCAAGCCCAGAAACCAUUGCUUGCCUCAGUGAUGGGUACUUGUGCUGUUUUUUUCUACACAGCUGCGUGCCUCAGGGUGUGUGCACGGAGUGUGUAACCUGUGCACGGGUCGUGCAGGUACUGGAAUGUACAGCAGUCUCUCCAAUCUUUACCAAGCGCUGCAGACAGAAUGACAAAACACACACCCCAGCAUGGACGACGCGCAGCUGCGCGGGGCAGGCAUGUUUAUUUGGUUCACUCCAGGGCUGCAGCAACCAC